ensembl:snoRNA
UUUUCCUGAAAGAAGCCCUAAUUAUUUUAGGGUCAAAAAUAUUACAUUUAGUAAGAAUUGGAGGCAAAGAAAUGAGGAUUUGGAGAAGUCUGGGGUCAGCUUACUCUCCACAGGUUCAAGAUCAACAUCCCACAUAG